UACGUAGGGGGCAAGCGUUGUCCGGAUUCAUUGGGCGUAAAGAGCGUGUAGGCGGCCAGGCAGGUCCGCUGUGAAAACUCGAGGCUCAACCUCGAGAUGUCGGUGGAAACCGUCUGGCUAGAGUCCGGAAGAGGAGAGUGGAAUUCCCGGUGUAGCGGUGAAAUGCGCAGAUAUCGGGAAGAAUACCAGUGGCGAAGGCGGCCUUCUGGACGGAUACUGACGCUGAGGCGCGAAAGCCAGGGGAGCAAACAGG
rnacentral:rRNA from 1 species